AUUGAACGCUGGCGGCAUGGCUAAAACAUGCAAGUCGAACGAGAACCUCGCAAGAGGGGACAGUGGCGGAAGGGUCAGUAAUGGGAUCGAACGUACCCAGAGGUGGAGGAUAGCGUUGGGAAACUGACGGUAAUACUCCAUGUCCUCUACGGAGAAAAGAUUUAUCGCCUUUGGAGCGGCGAUCCUCCUAUCAGGUAGUUGGCGGGGUAAAAGCCCACCAAGCCGAAGACGGGUAGCGGGUGUGAGAGCACGGCCCGCGACAUCGAGACUGAGACACUGCUCGGACUCCUACGGGAGGCUGCAGUAACGAAUAUUCCGCAAUGCGCGAAAGCGUGACGGAGCAAUGCCGCGUGCAGGAUGAAGCGGUUUUGCCGUGUAAACUGCUGUCAGGGAUAAGAAAUACUGAUCUAUCCCAGAGGAAGGGCGACUAACUCUGUGCCAGCAGUCGCGGUAACACAGAGGCCCCGAGCGUUAAUCGGAAUCACUGGCGUUAAA
rnacentral:rRNA from 1 species